rnacentral:piRNA from 1 species
GGCUUGAGGGAUAGGGAUGCCAGACU